AAUGGAGAUCGUGACGGCACUGAGUUAGCAAAGGAAGGUGGUCCGAGGAUUCGAGCCAUCAAUGAGAUAUUACUCUAAAAGAGUUAGAAUUCUGAACUUAUAUCAGGACGAAUGAGUUAAGGGAUAAUCUUAAAUAGACAGUUUUUAUUCGCCAUAGACCUCCCAAAAGAUAAAGGAGACGUGCAAAGGUUUUCUUGGGUCGGUAGCGGAGGUAUACAAAGGCUUCCUCGGGCCAAAAGGAGAUUGGCCUCGAGUGCAAAGCAAAAGAAAGAUUGACUGCAAGACCCACCCAUCAAGCAAGGAUGAAAAUUGGUCUUAGUGAUCCAACAAUGCCAAGUGGAAGGGUUGUCACGCAAUGG
rnacentral:ncRNA from 1 species